rnacentral:rRNA from 1 species
AAUACGUUCUCAAGUCUUGUACUCACCGCCCGUCAACUCAAGGGAGAUGGGAGUACCCGAAGGCUCACGUAAGUGGGACCACGGUAAACUCAUUGACAGGGAGU